rnacentral:lncRNA from 1 species
AUUUUGCUUCCAAAGCUUAUUUCUUGGAAUGCCAUUGGUAGGAUUUGUAUAAAGUAUACUAUGUUUAUGAACUUACCUUGUUUGUAAGAAUAAUUCACGAUUUACAGCAGACAGGGCUAGAUACACACACUUGAUGACAUUCAGGACAUGGCAACAAUCAUAGGCAAGACUGACUAGAUGGAAACCCUUUCCCUCCUACGUGUUCCUGUCCUGGUUCUCUCAACCUUCAACUCUGUAUGUUACAAUGUCUUGCUCUAGUUUCUUUUAUUUGAUGAAGAUGGAUUCCUUCAAACCAGUAACGUCUCUAUGCUUUUAAGCUUUAGUAUUCAUAGAUAAUUUUAAUUAAUACUCUUUCUCAUUUCCUCAACUGAUUCUCCCAGGGAUUUCGGACUCAAAAAACAUUUCCUGAGAAAUGCUGGGAAGGAAUUCCCACGUGGAAACCCUAAUCUAGGUUCUAGUUCCAGCUCCCUCAGCAGCAACCAGAAGGAAAGUGUGGCACAGUAGUCAAGCCAUGUAAGUUGGAGUCAUGAAAACACUAAAAAUUAAACCUCUCUAAAUCUGUUCCCUCACCUGUUGAAUGAAGAUAUUUAUCACCAACCUCCAGAUCUGUGGGGAGGAGUAAACAAUGUAAUAUACCAAUUACCACAGAGAUGUUUUAGGAACAGAAAACUCUUCCUUUAGAGUUGGCCACAGUGGGCUCUCUGGGUCUUUGGCCUACAAAGGGAUAUAUAUAUCCAACCUCUUUGAAAGAGGCAGUAAGAGCAUCAGAUUUAGAAUCAGAUGCUUGGAUUCAGAGCCUAGCUCUGCCACUUAAUAUGUGUGUGUGUGUUUGUUUGUUUGGUCUUUUUGCCUUUUCUAGGGCCACUCCUACAGCAUAUGGAUGUUCCCAGGCUAGGGGUCUAAUCGGAGCUGUAGCUGCUGGCCUACACCAGAGCCACAGCAACGCGGGAUCCGAGUCGUGUCUGUAACCUACACCACAGCUCACGGCAACGCCAGAUCCUUAACCCACUGAGCAAGGCCAGGGAUCGAACCCGCAAUCUCGUGGUUCCUAGUCGGAUUCGUUAACCACUGAGCCACGACGGGAACUCCCUCUGCCAUUUAAUUUUAAGUGUCUCCUGCUCUCUGAUCUCAGGUUUCAUCUGAAAAGUGAAGAUGACACUGAGUUAUAAGGGUAAAAUAUGUUGAGAACUUAAGACAGUACCUGACAAAGAGAGCUGGUGUUUUGUCCCUGUCCUCUAUGUCCUAUAGUCAGUUGUGACACCAGGGCAAAGGAAACCACCCAAAAACCGUUUUCAAUGCACAUCAGCAUACAAAAUGACCCAAGGAAGGCCAGAGAUAGAAAGAAAAGUCUUUGGAAUUAUCCCCACUUUAACAAAGUUCAAGGAAAAAAGGUGGAUUUUCCCAAUUCCAUAAGUAGGAAGGUAGCUGAACUAUAAAGAAAGCUUUAGCUAUUCAAAUCCUUGAUACACCAAUUUGGGAAACAUGUGCCAAACCCUGAGCACAAGAUCAAAGAGAUUCAAAUGUACCCCUUACCUCCAGCAGCUCAUAGUCUAGAAACAGGAGAAUGUGUUGCAAAGGGCUAAUAGGAUGCCAAGGCACAAGAGAGUCCUUCCAACCAGGGCUGCCAGGCCUUGCAGAGGAGCAACCAAAUCUCACAAGCUCUUAUGCAGGAGGGCACUCAAGUACACAGGAUGGCCUGAACACAGGGGUAGCAGCACAGCACACUGGAGCCACGCAUGUGCCAGCGGAGGAGAGGAGAGGUGGAAGGUAAAGAUGGAAAAAGUGAGUUGAGGCAAGGCUAAAAGAGCCUUGAAAGCCAGACCAAAAAAUUGGACUUUAUCCUGAAAGCAACACAUGCAGUCCAUUUAGGCUCCUCAGUACAUUUUUGGUAGGGUUUACUUUACACAAGAUUUUCAGGUAGGGUUUAUUUUACACAAGAUUUUCAUCUGCACCAGAAAUAUCUGUCAUUAAAAAGGACAUCACCAUUAUCAUUAUCAUUCUCUUUCUUCUCCUGGGGCAGCCCUUCCAAAUUCCUCUGGCUGUCACAUAGAGGAACCUCUGGACCUUUGGAAGGGGCUCAGCCUAAAGUUCCUAAAAGGUCUUCAAGGAAGGGCCCUUAGGGAGCCUCCCUCCCUGUGUUCCUCAUUAGUUUCAGAUCCAAGAAGCACAGAAGGUGUCAGAACCAGAGCCUGGCUGUAUCCCUCCCACACACUCUUCCCUCUGGGAAGACACAGGAUUCCACAGGUGUCUGUGGACCCCCAUCUAAACUUCCCAUGGUGCCCCCAGAAGUGGAGGCACCUUGUGACAAAGCCAGGUCAAGUCUCUCUUCUCACCCCACAGGGCUCUGCCCUCCCUGUCCUCCUCCACCUGACAUCUACAGAGCAGGUAUAAGACAGCACCAGACAGAAGGAGCAGCCCUGGCUGUACCAUCUGUAAGGCAACAUGCCACCCCCUUGGGGACCUCAGUGCAGUUCAGUUUCCUUUAGCAAUCUAAAUGGAGACUGGCUUAGGCUACUGGUUUACAAAUUUUUAACAAAGACCUAGCUCGAUACAUAAAAAUAAUAAAAGCACAUCGGUACCAGCUUAAGUAUGAGUAGGGGGCCUCACACCCUUAACCCCCACCCAGGUAGCCCCCAGGGUACCUCUGUGAACCGCUGGGGCUCUGCGGAGCAAGUCUGAAAAACCCCGGGCUAGCAGUUCCCCACGAUUCUUCCUAUUUCAGGAUGCUCAGUUCCAAUGCUCAGGUGGAAAGGUUAAGUGUAGUGGGCUCAGAAUCUAUGUCUCCACUGGACAAGGCACCAGGAUCUUCUGAUGUCAGUCACAUUCAGGCUAGCAGAGUCAGCUCCCACCCUGUGAGGCUAUGUCUAAGCCCUAAGAUUCCCCCAGUCCUACAUGUACUCAGGAAACCCAGUCUCACUUCCUCAGGACUCAGGAAUAACAACAAACACCUCCUCUAGCUAAGAGAAAUAAUCCUGCUUGUCCCUGAAAUUCCAUGAACAAUUCAUCCUUUUGGAUAAAGCUCUUCCAAGUUCCCCUAGAAGGUGGCAGUCAUUCCACACACUUCUGGGUAGCAGGUCAUUGGGUCCAAUCCUCAGAGAAGCAGGAGAAUAAUAACUAACUAGGUGUUCAAUAUAGGCUCAGU